GACAAAGGAUGCAAGCGUUAUCCAGAAUGAUUAGGCGUAAAGCGUCUGUAGGUGGCUUUUUAAGUCCGCCGUUAAAUCCUAGGGCUCAACCCUGGACAGGCGGUGGAAACUACCAAGCUGGAGUACGGUAGGGGUAGAGGGAAUUUCCGGUGGAGCGGUGAAAUGCGUAGAGAUCGGAAAGAACACCAACGGCGAAAGCACUCUGCUGGGCCGACACUGACACUGAGAGACGAAAGCUAGGGGAGCGAAUGGG
rnacentral:rRNA from 1 species